GGGGCGGGACGUAAGGUGGGGCGGUGAAAGAAGUUUGCUGACGAAGAUGGCGACUGAGGCACAGAGUGAAGGGGAGGUGCCAGCCCGCGAAUCCGGCCGGAGUGAUGCCAUCUGCAGUUUUGUGAUCUGCAAUGAUUCUUCCCUUCGAGGUCAGCCCAUUAUCUUUAAUCCUGACUUUUUUGUGGAGAAACUCCGACAUGAGAAACCUGAGAUUUUCACUGAGUUGGUGGUCAGCAAUAUCACAAGGCUCAUCGAUUUACCUGGAACUGAGUUGGCUCAGCUGAUGGGGGAAGUGGACCUUAAGUUGCCUGGCGGGGCUGGCCCAGCAUCAGGAUUCUUCCGGUCUCUCAUGUCUCUCAAGCGAAAGGAAAAAGGAGUGAUAUUUGGGUCCCCACUGACGGAGGAAGGCAUUGCCCAGAUAUACCAACUGAUUGAGUAUCUACACAAAAACUUGCGAGUAGAGGGUUUGUUUAGAGUACCGGGUAAUAGUGUCCGACAGCAGAUUUUAAGGGAUGCUCUCAAUAAUGGAACUGACAUUGACUUGGAAUCAGGGGAAUUUCACUCAAAUGAUGUUGCCACUUUGCUGAAGAUGUUUCUAGGAGAGUUGCCGGAGCCUCUGCUGACACAUAAACACUUCAAUGCACACCUCAAAAUCGCUGAUUUGAUGCAGUUUGAUGAUAAAGGAAACAAGACCAAUAUACCAGACAAGGACCGGCAAAUUGAGGCUCUCCAGUUGCUCUUCCUCAUUCUCCCUCCUCCUAAUCGUAAUUUGCUGAAGUUAUUGCUUGAUCUCCUAUACCAGACAGCAAAGAAACAAGACAAGAACAAGAUGUCAGCCUAUAACCUUGCCCUUAUGUUUGCACCCCAUGUCCUGUGGCCAAAAAAUGUCACUGCAAAUGACCUUCAGGAGAAUAUCACAAAGUUAAACAGUGGGAUGGCUUUUAUGAUUAAACACUCCCAGAAACUUUUUAAGGCUCCUGCUUACAUUCGGGAGUGUGCGAGAUUGCACUAUUUGGGAUCCAGAACUCAGGCAUCAAAGGAUGACCUUGACCUCAUAGCUUCAUGUCAUACUAAGUCCUUUCAGCUGGCAAAGUCUCAGAAACGGAACCGGGUAGAUUCCUGCCCUCACCAGGAGGAGACCCAGCACCAUACGGAAGAGGCACUGAGAGAGCUGUUUCAACACGUUCAUGAUAUGCCAGAGUCAGCAAAGAAGAAACAACUUAUUAGACAGUUUAAUAAGCAAUCAUUGACCCAGACACCAGGGCGAGAACCUUCUACUUCCCAGGUACAAAAGAGGGCUCGUUCGCGCUCCUUCAGUGGGCUUAUUAAGCGGAAGGUCCUGGGAAAUCAGAUGAUGUCAGAAAAGAAAAAGAAGAACCCUACUCCAGAAUCUGUGGCCAUUGGUGAAUUGAAGGGAACCAGCAAAGAAAAUAGGAACUUAUUAUUUUCUGGCUCUCCAGCUGUCACGAUGACACCAACAAGAUUGAAGUGGUCUGAAGGGAAGAAAGAGGGGAAAAAAGGGAACUCAAUGGCAACAACAUCACUCGGAUCCAUAAGAAUGACUUUGCGGGGCUCAAGCAGCUGCGGGUGCUGCAGCUGAUGGAGAACCAGAUUGGAGCAGUGGAACGUGGUGCUUUUGAUGACAUGAAGGAGCUGGAGCGGCUGCGACUGAACCGAAACCAGCUGCACAUGUUACCGGAACUGCUGUUCCAGAACAACCAGGCUUUGUCAAGACUGAUCUAUGGCUCAGAGAGGUGAUUUGCCUUGGACCACAGAGCAGCUUGACAAUAGGGUUGGAAUUAGACACCAGGCCUUCUAGGGGCCCUGAAGAGCCUGAAAAUGGUCUUAAACCUUGACCUAGGAAUCUCAUAUUUGGGCAUCUGCCCUAAAGAAAUAAUAAAGCAUGAGCACAGACA